rnacentral:ribozyme from 1 species
AGAGGUCACAAUGUUUGAGGCCAUAGCAGAAGUGCUUAUGGUGUGGCCUGUCAGAUUUGAAUGAAUCUGUGAAUUCUGCU